UACGUAGGUGGCGAGCGUUAUCCGGAUUUAUUGGGCGUAAAGGGUGCGCAGACGGUUUACUAAGUCUAAAAUCGAAUCUUGGGGCUUAACCUCAUUCCGUUUUAGAAACUGGUAGACUUGAGUAUGGUAGAGGCAGAUGGAAUUCCUAGUGUAGCGGUGGAAUGCGUAGAUAUUAGGAGGAACACCAGUGGCGAAGGCGAUCUGCUGGGCCAUUACUGACGUUCAGGCACGAAAGCGUGGGGAGCAAAUA
rnacentral:rRNA from 1 species